GCAUUGGUGGUUUCAGUGUAGAAUGCUUGCCUGCCACGCGGGCGACCCGGGUUCGAUUCCCGGCCAAUGCA